UACGUUUUAAUUUUUUUGUAGCCCCAAAAAAAUCUCGAUAAGCGCCACAGCAAACCGGCGCGCCGUUGAACGCGAAACCCGCAAUGUGAAGGUGUUUUUAUUCAAUGAACAUUGAAUAUUUCGACGACGAUAAUUACGACGACCGUUGACGUUGUUGGGUUCGCUUUACUGCAACUAGGUUAUGCAACUACCAAGAAGCGAGAUUAUUGGUGUCUGCAAGACCCAGCUGGAAUGGCCGCAGCCGACGAAUCUGCUUGGGAAAAUCUUAAAAUGCAACUAUCGAGACUGCAACAACCGUACCAAGUUCACUGUACUAACAACAGCAGCAGGAAAAACAACAGAUGUUUCCGGAAAAGCAACUUGGCAAAUGCGCAACCUUCACCCCCGCUUGAACAAAGGUUCGAGCCAGAAAUUGGUGGUGACGAAUAAGGAGGAAAUCCGGAACAACAAGGGCUUGGUGGCUAGGAGCAGGAGUUACUCAAACAGUAAGUUUUCAUAUUUUUAAGUAGAUUGGAUUCUAAAGAAGUGACUAUUGUAUGUUUAGUAGA